rnacentral:rRNA from 1 species
UGAACGCUGGCGGUAUGCUUAACACAUGCAAGUCGAAUGGAAACGAUACUAGCUUGCUAGUAGGCGUCGAGUGGCGGACGGGUGAGUAACGCGUAGGAAUCUGCCUGAUAGUGGGGGAUAGCCCGAAGAAAUUCGGAUUAAUACCGCAUAAUCUAUUCGUAGUAAAGUGGGGGACUUUCGAGCCUCACGCUAUCAGAUGAGCCUGCGUAAGAUUAGCUUGUUGGUAGGGUAAAAGCCUACCAAGGCGACGAUCUUUAGCUGGUCUGAGAGGAUGAUCAGCCACAUCGGGACUGAGACACGGCCCGAACUCCUACGGGAGGCAGCAGUGGGGAAUAUUGGACAAUGGGGGCAACCCUGAUCCAGCAAUACCGCGUGUGUGAAGAAGGCCUGAGGGUUGUAAAGCACUUUCAAUUGUGAAGAAAAGUUAGCGGUUAAUAACCGUUAGCCUUGACGUUAACUUUAGAAGAAGCACCGGCUAACUCCGUGCCAGCAGCCGCGGUAAUACGGAGGGUGCAAGCGUUAAUCGGAAUUACUGGGCGUAAAGCGUGCGUAGGCGGUUUAUUAAGUCAGAUGUGAAAGCCCCGGGCUUAACCUGGGAACUGCAUUUGAAACUGGUCAACUAGAGUAUGGUAGAGGAAAGUGGAAUUUCUGGUGUAGCGGUGAAAUGCGUAGAUAUCAGAAGGAACAUCAAUGGCGAAGGCAGCUUUCUGGACCAAUACUGACGCUGAGGUACGAAAGCGUGGGUAGCAAACAGGAUUAGAUACCCUGGUAGUCCACGCCGUAAACGAUGAUAACUAGCCGUUGGGGGGAUUUACCCUUUAGUGGCGAAGCUAACGCGUUAAGUUAUCCGCCUGGGGAGUACGGCCGCAAGGUUAAAACUCAAAGGAAUUGACGGGGACCCGCACAAGCGGUGGAGCAUGUGGUUUAAUUCGAUGCAACGCGAAGAACCUUACCUGGUCUUGACAUCCUGCGAACUUUCUAGAAAUAGAUUGGUGCCUUCGGGAACGCAGUGACAGGUGCUGCAUGGCUGUCGUCAGCUCGUGUCGUGAGAUGUUGGGUUAAGUCCCGUAACGAGCGCAACCCCUAUCCUUAUUUGCCAGCACAUCAUGGUGGGAACUAUAAGGAGACUGCCGGUGAUAAACCGGAGGAAGGCGGGGACGACGUCAAGUCAUCAUGGCCCUUACGACCAGGGCUACACACGUGCUACAAUGGGAAGGACAAAGAGCCGCGAAGCCGCGAGGUGUAGCUAAUCUCAUAAACCUUUUCGUAGUCCGGAUUGGAGUCUGCAACUCGACUCCAUGAAGUCGGAAUCGCUAGUAAUCGUAGAUCAGAAUGCUACGGUGAAUACGUUCCCGGGUCUUGUACACACCGC